UGCCUUUGUGUUGCCAAUUCAUUCCCUUCUGAAAUGAAUGUGGUGUCAAAAAAAGGCAGACAAGAAUUCUUGCUCAAACUGCUUAAAGAGUU
rnacentral:snoRNA from 1 species